UUUGUACUCCCUCCGUCCCAAAAUUCUUGUCUUAAAUUUGUCUAAAUACGGAUGUAUCUAGUUACAUUUUAGUGUUAGAUACAUCCAUAUCUGAACGAAUGUAAGACAAUAAUUUUGGGACGGAGGGAAUACUAC
rfam:Triticum aestivum genome assembly, contig: Triticum_aestivum_CS42_TGACv1_scaffold_658567_T_1AL-0.038006_6BS-0.028834